rnacentral:lncRNA from 1 species
UUUCAAUGGUGAAACAGAGGGAGAAAAGAAAGGAGAAGCCGAGCCCAACCAGGCCCGGCCCAGUGGCCAAUCCGGGCCGAGCCCAUCUGGGCUCGGCCAGCAGGCACCGCAGGCUCAGCCGCGGUUGCCCUAGGGUACCCCGACGCGGCCGCAGGGCCGUCAGGCCCUGGCCAAGUCCCACCUCCCUCCGGUGAGGACGUGGUGGCGCCACCACAAAGGGAGGAGGCGAAAAAGAAAAUAAAAGAAAAUAAAGAAAGAAAAAGAGGGGAAAAAAGAGGGAGGAUCGUACCUGGAUCUCUCGCGCCUCCUCAAUCACGGUGGUUCUCCUCCGCCGUGGACGGAUCGGGGUAAGGGAGGUCCCCGGAGACUAAAACCCACUCCGGCAUCACUUCGGAGGAGGUUUAGCCCCUCCCUCUCCCACUGCUCCCACCCUGGAGAAAGGCACCCCUCGGCCGCAGUCGCCAGAGCGGUUGCAGGCCGAGGAAGCAUCGGCCUCCCCAGGGGAGCUCCCAGGGGCUCGGCCCCACCUCGGGGACCCCGUUCGACUCCUCCGGCACCACUUCGGAGGAGGUCCAGGGCCUUCCCUUCUGCCGCUCCGAGGUGGGAGCAUCUCCCAGAGGAGGCUCACCCCACGGUGGCACGGCGAGAGGGAGAAGAGGAGGGGGGAAGCAAAAAAAGAGAGGAAGGAUGGGAGAAGGGCUCGGCCGGAGGUGAAAGAAGAAGAAAGAAAGGGGCUAGGGCUUCCGAUGGAGACGCAGGGGGAGAGAGAAAGAGGAGAAUGGAGACGAAGAGGCGAGAAAUCACUUGUCUAUGGACAAUCCACUGUUGCCUCUUCCUAAGAAGGCCAAGAAGAUCCUUGUAGCUGGGAGCCAUGCCGACAACUUGGGCUGUCAGUGUGGAGGAUGGACUAUCACUUGGCAAGGACGCAGUGGAAACAAUCUAACAAUUGGUAAACAUUCCGAACACCUUAGAUUGACUUUGUUUCUUAUUUCUUUCAGA